rnacentral:misc_RNA from 1 species
CRCUCGCCCCCAACCAAGCAUCCUUACGGGAUGCUUGGCAUUGGGGCGGAGAUUGGCCUCCCGUGCUUUUGGUGCGGUUGGCCUAAACUGGAGUCCUUCGGUGGACGCACGACUAGUGGUGGUUGAAUAGACCCUCGUCUUAUGUUGUGCGUUGUAAGCUGUGAGGUGGGCCCUUGAUGAAGACCCCUAUGUAUCGUCAUGUGACGAUGCUUCGACC